ACCCUGGUAGUCCUAGCCCUAAACCAUCAGGACUUGGGGUGGCUCGCGUAGGCGGGUCGUCCCGUAGCUAACGCGUUAAGUCCUGCGCCUGGGGAGUACGGUCGCAAGACUGAAACUCAAAGGAAUUGACGGGGGCCCGCACAAGCGGUGGAACAUGUGGUUCAAUUCGACGCAACGCGAAGAACCUUACCUGGGCUCGAAAUGCUCGUGACCAUCUUGAGAAAUCUAGACUUCCCGCAAGGGACACGAGUAUAGGUGCUGCAUGGCUGUCGUCAGCUCGUGCCGUGAGGUGUUGGGUUAAGUCCCGCAACGAGCGCAACCCUUACACUUAGUUGCUACCCGCAAGGGAGAACUCUAGGUGGACUGCUCCGGAUAACGGAGAGGAAGGUGGGGAUGACGUCAAGUCAGCACGGCCUUUAUGUCCAGGGCUACACACGUGUUACAAUGCGCGGCACAAACUGUUGCAAACCCGCGAGGGGGAGCUAAUCGGAAAAAACCGCGCUCAGUUCGGAUUGCAGUCUGCAACUCGACUGCAUGAAGCUGGAAUCGCUAGUAAUGGCGCAUCAGAUCGGCGCCGUGAAUACGUUCCCGGGCCUUGUACACACCGCCCGUCACAUCACGAAAGUGGGCUGUACUAGAAGUCG
rnacentral:rRNA from 1 species